rnacentral:rRNA from 1 species
AGUAGCUUGCUACUUUGCCGGCGAGCGGCGGACGGGUGAGUAAUGUCUGGGAAACUGCCUGAUGGAGGGGGAUAACUACUGGAAACGGUAGCUAAUACCGCAUGACCUCGAAAGAGCAAAGUGGGGGACCUUCGGGCCUCACGCCAUCGGAUGUGCCCAGAUGGGAUUAGCUAGUAGGUGAGGUAAUGGCUCACCUAGGCGACGAUCCCUAGCUGGUCUGAGAGGAUGACCAGCCACACUGGAACUGAGACACGGUCCAGACUCCUACGGGAGGCAGCAGUGGGGAAUAUUGCACAAUGGGCGCAAGCCUGAUGCAGCCAUGCCGCGUGUGUGAAGAAGGCCUUCGGGUUGUAAAGCACUUUCAGCGAGGAGGAAGGCGUUAAGGUUAAUAACCUUAGNGAUUGACGUUACUCGCAGAAGAAGCACCGGCUAACUCCGUGCCAGCAGCCGCGGUAAUACGGAGGGUGCAAGCGUUAAUCGGAAUUACUGGGCGUAAAGCGCACGCAGGCGGUUUGUUAAGUCAGAUGUGAAAUCCCCGAGCUUAACUUGGGAACUGCAUUUGAAACUGGCAAGCUAGAGUCUUGUAGAGGGGGGUAGAAUUCCAGGUGUAGCGGUGAAAAUGCG